rnacentral:lncRNA from 1 species
AUUAUCCAUUUAUUUUAGUACUUUUUUAAUGUAUAUUUAGCUCCUUCAACUUUUUUUUUUAUAAAUAAUUGCAACAAAUUUAUACUUGUAUAUAUAACCCUCUCCUUUCCAUGCGAGUAUUACAUUAGCAUUUUUAAGUUGAACACGAUGAUUGAAUCAACGUGUUUAUAUUUAUAUUCUUGUCUUUUUUUUCUUAACUUAAAAAUGAUAACAAAUACAAAGAAGAAUACGGUGAUUGAAUCAUUGUGUUCAAACAUGGUGAUUGAAUUACCUUAUUCAAGUUAAAAACGUCAUUUAUGCGCUCGUGUGGCAAUAAAAAAAUUAUCUAUAUAAAUAUAAAUUUGUUAGAAUUAUUUAUAAAAAAAAAAAAU